UACGGAGGGUGCAAGCGUUGCUCGGAAUUACUGGGCGUAAAGCGUGCGCAGGCGGCGCAGCAAGUCAGACGUGAAAGACCGGGGCUCAACCCCGGGAGGUCGUUUGAAACUGCUGUGCUUGAGUACGGGAGAGGGGUGUGGAAUUCCCAGUGUAGGAGUGAAAUCCGUAGAUAUUGGGAGGAACACCAGUGGCGAAGGCGACACCCUGGCCCGAGACUGACGCUCAGGCACGAAAGCAUGGGUAGCAAACAGG
rnacentral:misc_RNA from 1 species